rnacentral:rRNA from 1 species
UCCGUAGGUGAACCUGCGGAAGGAUCAUUAUUAUUUGGGUCGGGUUUACCUCUUGUCUAGUUUUUUUGUGCUCAAUAAUUCAAGAGGAGGUAAACUUUUACCAAAUAAUCCUAUUUCCAAAUAGGAGCAAGAACCCUUAUAUUUAAAACCCACUCUUAAAAUAUUAUUUUAUGUAUUUUGAAUGAUAAAAAUUAAAGAUCACUUUCAACAACGGAUCUCUUGGCUCUCGCAUCGAUGAAGAACGUAGCGAAGUGCGAUAAGUAAUGUGAAUUGCAGAAUUCCGUGAAUCAUCGAAUCUUUGAACGCAAAUUGCACUUUCUGGUAUUCCGGAAAGUAUGCCUGUUUGAGGGUCAGUUAAAUAAAAAUCGGUGUUGCUGCUACCCGUAGUGGUGUUAAUGCAUCGGAAUUGAGUUGUCUUUUAUCUUUUUGGUUUAAGUGACUUAAAAUUAUGUACGAUUUUUGAACGUAUUUAAAUUAUUUACGUAUGUUCAUAAUAUCAAAUAUUAGGUGCGUUCAUCCUUAUGAUUCACAUCUAUAAUUUUUUCAUUAUUUGACCUCAAAUCAGGUAAGAGUACCCGCUGAACUUAAGCAUAUCAAUAAGCGGAGGAAGUCGACUGCCAAGGGGCACACAGGGGGGGA